UGUGGGACCGGGUGGGUGGUUUUUUUCCUGCUCCCGAGGAAAUGCAGCGCGAUUCCCAGCGAGACGGCGGUGCGGCGCCGGCCUCGGCUGACGGGCGCCGAUCUGCUGAAGCCGCGCUCCCCCGGCUUCUCCCCCCACUGCCGCCCGCUCGCAGGGACGUUCCACGCUUCUGACGGCCGUUAGCGCAUCCCGCACACCCACCCCGCUCCAGCGGGGCUCCCACGUUCCGCAAUUAGGAGACGCAAGCGAAAACAGCGGCGGCCCCGCACCGCCUCGCUGCCGGCGGAGGGGAAGGAGCCGCAGAACCAAGGAACGGAGAUUUUAUUUUUUCCCCUCCCUCUCCCCCAUUCCUAUAUCUCUCCGCCGCCCUCCCCGGGCCGAGCCCCUCCGCAUCCCGCGGCUCCCGGCCCCGGGUCACCCCUCUCCCUCCCUCCCGCCGCUCCGCGCUGCUCCGGCUCCGCGUUUUGCUUGCGGCCGCGGUGUCAGCCGGGGAGCGCCGAAUAACAAAGGCAACUUGGAGAGCCGCCGCCGCCGCGCUGCUGCCAGUGACGUCAGGGAACAAUGCCGCUGCCAGCCGGCCGCGCGCACCCGAGCCCUUAAAGGCGCCGCGGGAGCCGCCGGCCCCAGCCGCCCUCGUUGCCCCCGCAGAGCGGGGGAGCGGGCGGCAGCUCUAUCGCGGGGCGCUGGAGCCCCUGCAGCCGCGCCGUGCCUCGGCGCUACGCUCAUUUGCGAUUAGCGUCCCAUAAAGCAGCAACGCGUUGAGGUGUCACAACCUCUGGCUCAGACAAAGACGGGGGCGGACGGCGGGCUUGGCGUGUCGUUGCUCCAAACCGGCCCGCACGAUAAGGUUGGCCAUUAACCGCAGCCUUGCGCAGCCUUGGCCGCAGUACGGGGCACAGCUCGCCCGCCGCAGCUCUUACAUGACCCAGUCAUAAAGAAAAGAUGUCAAAUGCCACCAAUACCAGCUGGAGAGCAUCUUGGUUGAACCCUGGUCCGAGUUUAUGUGAGAGGUUUUAAAUGAGCCAGCCCACCAGCAUGGAAAGAGACCAGCAAAUAAAGUGUUAUUGUGAGGAGAGAGAGGACUGCUUCAAAUCAGACAGAGCUUGCCAGAACAUAAUGGUGUCUUGUAACGCAGCUAAUCGUGCUGAAUAAAACAGAGCCUUAAACACGUUCA